rnacentral:rRNA from 1 species
UACAGAGGUCUCGAGCGUUAGGCGGAAUCACUGGGCUUAAAGCGUGUGUAGGCGGAUCGUUAAGUACCUUGUGAAAUCCCACGGCUUAACCGUGGAACUGCUUGGUAUACUGGCGGUCUUGGGCCACCUAGGGGCUACCGGAACAAACGGUGGAGCGGUGAAAUGCGUAGAUAUCGUUUGGAACGCCAAUGGUGAAAACAGGUAGCUGGGAGUGUGCCGACGCUGAGACACGAAAGCCAGGGGAGCGAACGGG